UGAUCACAACAAAAGUAGCUGUGCAGCACGUUUUUUAAUGAAGAGGAGGAUGGUUGUAGACGUUCACAUUCCUGCAAUAAGGCACUGCAGAGGCUAAGAAGACGCAUGGAAACUCUAAAAGAAACAUAAUUCAACUUGUAGGCCAGAUUUGAAAAGGAAAUAAUAAAUCCCGAAGCUCAGAUGUCAGACACCGAGGCUGCCAGUACCUCUGGGUCGAUAGUCCAUGUGUUGGAUGAUGCACUGCCGUUGAUCAGAACAAGUUAGUAACUUGACCAAAGCUAUGCUUGGAUACAAGACUGAUGACUCAAUAACCAAUAUUGACAACAGUGAAGAUGGUU